rnacentral:rRNA from 1 species
UACGUAGGGUGCGAGCGUUGUCCGGAAUUACUGGGUGUAAAGGGUCCGCAGGCGGACAGAUAAGUCGAUGGUGAAAUUUCCAGGCUCAACCUGGAACCUGCUGUCGAUACUAUUUGUCUUGAGUCCGAGAGAGGAUAGUGGAAUUCAUGGUGUAGCGGUGAAAUGCGUAGAGAUCAUGAAGAACACCGGUAGCGAAGGCGGCUAUCUGGCUCGGUACUGACGCUCAGGGACGAAAGCGUGGGUAGCAAACAGG